rnacentral:rRNA from 1 species
UGAGCAACCUGCCCCUGGCUCUGGGAUAACUCCGGGAAACCGGAGCUAAUACCGGAUACGAGACCGAUUGGCAUCUUUACGGUCUGGAAAGUUUUUCGGCCAGGGAUGGGCUCGCGGCCUAUCAGCUUGUUGGUGGGGUAACGGCCCACCAAGGCGACGACGGGUAGCCGGCCUGAGAGGGCGACCGGCCACACUGGAACUGAGACACGGUCCAGACUCCUACGGGAGGCA